GUAAACAAGGUUUCCGUAGGUGAACCUGCGGAAGGAUCAUUAAUGAGUUUUGAAACGCGGGGUUUGCUGCUGGCGGAAACGCAUGUGCACGGCCCCGUGCUCAAUCCACUCAACCCCCGGUCCCUUUAAGGGAAGUUGUUAUUGGGUUUUACCCCUUUUAGAAGGGGGGGAGGCAUGUAGUCUUACUUAGGACGAAUGCUUUUCUCUUUUGAUGGUGCCGACGAAGACUUCAAUUUAUUUUUCAACCAUAACUUGUUAUGUUGAAUGUAAUUGCUCCUAGUGAGUGAAAUAAUAUACAAUUUUCAACAACGGAUCUCUUGGCUCUCGCAUCGAUGAAGAACGCAGCGAAAUGCGAUAAGUAAUGUGAAUUGCAGAAUUCAGUGAAUCAUCGAAUCUUUGAACGCACCUUGCGCCCCUUGGUAUUCCGAGGGGCAUGCCCGUUUGAGUGUCAUGUUCAUCUCAACCCCCAAGUUUUUGUUGACUGUGGAGCGUUGGACUUGAAGGUUGCUGGUCCCUUUCUUUAUGGGUCGGCUCCUUUUAAAUGUAUUAGCUGGGUUUUGACUCGCGUUUGUUACGGUGUAAUAGUAACUUGUUCACCGGGGCGCUUGUCUAGUGGGUCCGCUUCUAAUCGUCUUCGGACAAGAUUAAUUGACCAUUUGACCUCAAAUCGGGUAGGAUUACCCGCUGAACUUAAGCAUAUCAAUAAGCGGAGGAAAA
rnacentral:rRNA from 1 species